UUGGCCUUGACAUACUAAGAACUUUUCCAGAGAUGGAUUGGUGCCUUCGGGAACUUAGAUACAGGUGCUGCAUGGCUGUCGUCAGCUCGUGUCGUGAGAUGUUGGGUUAAGUCCGCAACGAGCGCAACCCUUUUUCCUUAUUUGCCAGCGGGUAAUGCCGGGAACUUUAAGGAUACUGCCAGUGACAAACUGGAGGAAGGCGGGGACGACGUCAAGUCAUCAUGGCCCUUACGGCCAGGGCUACACACGUGCUACAAUGGUCGGUACAAAGGGUUGCUACCUCGCGAGAGGAUGCUAAUCUCAAAAAGCCGAUCGUAGUCCGGAUCGCAGUCUGCAACUCGACUGCGUGAAGUCGGAAUCGCUAGUAAUCGCGGAUCAGAAUGCCGCGGUGAAUACGUUCCCGGGCCUUGUACACACCGCCCGUCACACCAUGGGAGUUUGUUGCACCAGAAGUAGGUAGUCUAACCGCAAGGAGGACGCUUACCACGGUGUGGCCGAUGACUGGGGUGAAGUCGUAACAAGGUAGGCGUAGAUGA
rnacentral:rRNA from 1 species